GGGGGGAGGAAAGGGGGAAGAGACAGACAGACAGAAGACCUGCCUUGAGCAUAUGAAACCUCAAAGCCCACUCCCCAGAGAUACCCAUCCUCCUCUGAGACUUCACAUUCUUCACAAGGCUACCCCUCCUAAUUCCUGUCAAGUAGUACCACUCCCUAAUGACCUAAUUCAAGUAUCAAAUAUAUGAGCCUAUGGGGGCCAUUUCUAUUCAAACUGCCACACUGGACAUGGUAAAAUAUAAAAUAUAAAGAAAGAUUUGUGAGGGUUUCCUAAGCAUUAUAGGUGUUAGAAGAAAUGGAAGUCAAAUAUAAAGAAAUUUAAGAUAGAAAUUUAAGCUCCAGGUAACAAAGUGAGACAUGUGUGCAUGCCUAUAUGCACAGUCAGCCCACCUAUCCGUACAAUCUUUAUGAAGCUGCAUCUUUGCUGAACACAUGUAUGGCUCUUUUCUUUAUAGCCUAAAUACUUUAAUAGGGCAACUAUUGCUAUAGUAUUUGUAUUAUAUUAGUCAUAACAUAGAGAUGAUUUCAGGUAGCAAAAGUGAAUGUUUGUAAGUUAUGUGUAGAUUCUAUACAUGAGUAUUACUAUCCAAGGCGGAAGAACAUGCAAAUACUGUAUACAGAUAUUUCGACAAUAGCAUGGGGAUAUUCAUAUUAAUAACUUUGGUAGAUCACAUGUAUAGACUUACUAGAGGAGUUCAGAGAACAGAGUGAUAAUCUUAGAACUUAGGACUUUAAAAAUAAAUGGAUAUGAACACUUUUACAGUCCUUUAUGCAUUGUGCUGUUUUGAUUAUUUGGCUGUGAAUAGCCUACAUAGGCUCUUAUUUGGUCAGACUCAUCAUAGUUCUUUCUUAGAACACUAUGUAGUAACUAGACAGCCUUUCUGGGUUUUAAGACUUUGUCCCUGUAAUCAUCCCAUCUCCACCUUUUUUUAUCAUCCUAUUAACAUGUAAUGUUUUUUCCAAAGUCUGCUCUAUUCUCACAUAUCUCAUUACAGUAGUUGUCUCAAAGAGCAUACUAGCCAGAAAUUUAAGGCUCACAACACAUUCUGUGAGCAUUGGAAUGAGAGUGGCAUCACAACAUUUAUUUACUUGCUGUUAAGGUGUUGUGCAUCCUGAUCUGCUUCAUGGAGGAGUAUAUGGUAGAAAUGACCCCUUCUGUCAGGCAUGGAGAGGAACACAAUGCUGACCCCAGCUCUAGAAGAUGGCUGCUUCCUAGGAGAAGGGCUCUCCUUGAGUGGAAUGGAGUGACAGUAGUAGUGACAUGGCUUUGUAGGGUUGGGAUCUUGUGUAAGGUGCAGUUUUUGGACAUAUCAUGUAUUUUCAGGCUAGUGGAGCAUUUUUUCCUACUGUCCUGUUUGGCUUGGUUUGAUGGUUUUGUAUGUAUGUGUGUAUUUACUUGAUGCUUUAAAUUUGACCCUAUAAUUUUUCUGCAUCUGCCUUAUAUUAAAUCCUUUUAACACUUACAAGACCCUCCCCUAAAGUUAAUUCCUGAUCAUUUCAUUCUAUUUAAAAAAAAUGAAUGACUAUUUCAAAGGGCAGUUAUAGGUUGACUCUAUAAUUGAGUAGUAAUUAUAGAGUGUGUGUAAGGAUCUCUGUCCUCAGCAGUGUCUUCCAACAUCAUCGUGCACCAUAGCAGAAAUGCUCACUUAGCACUUCUAGGUAAAUCAGCCCUUAGAUGUAAUCAGUGCAGCAGCAGAGUCCCUGUCUGUCACGCAGGUUCAUGUUAUUAGUGACUAGUGCCACAAGCUGUUUCUGAGACAGUAAGAAUAGUAAGAACUCAGCCAGGCAUGGUGGCGCACACCUUUAAUCCCAGCACUCGGGAGGCAGAGGCAGACUUAUUUAGGAGUUCAAGGCCAGCCUGGUCUACAAAGUGAGUUCCAGGAUAGCCAGGGCUAUACAGAGAAACCCUGUCUCAAAAAACAAACAAACAAACAAACAAACAAACAAACAAAAAAGAAUAGGAAGAACUCUGUGGUGGACCCUUGUGGAUGGACUUUUCAGGUCCUCUCUGUGGUCCAUGAUCUCUUGAGAGACAACAUAGCUAGCAGCCAGUUCUGAGCCUAAAGUGCCUACAUCCAAAAUCUAGCUCUCACCACUAGCUGAUCAGCCAGGGUAAGUUAUUCUUCCUCUUUGCUCUUGCUUUUGUUUUUUUCUUCAUGGUGAUCCUGUGAAGGUGCUGUGAGAAUUUGGCUUUAAUUAGUGCAGAAGGCAAUAUUUAGUACAUCAUUAAUGGGAUAUUGUCCUUCUAUGCUGUAGUGUUCUUUCUUGUACUGUGACUCCAAAUCGGCUUCUCUCCCCAUCUCUUUCUCUCUGUGUCUCUCUGUGUCUCUUUCUUUCUCCAUUUCAGUAUCUGUCUCUGUCUCUCCCAUACACACACACACACACACACACACACACACACACACAGAGAGAGAGAGAGAGAGAGAGAAAAAGAGAGAGAGUUUGAUUCUGUUCUUUCUCCUGCCCCCUUUCUUAUGCUAAACCUAACCUGACUUCCAAGGUAAACUUAUUUGUUACUUAUUCAUUCUAGUGAGCUCCCUUCCUUUCCUUUCCACUCCCACUCUGUUUCAUACACACAUAUACUCUUGGGUCUUGGCUUGCUGUUUGGUGUUUUACUGCCAUGUGUUUUCUGUUCUCUUUGUGGGUGUGUCCCAUAGCGCACCAUGCACCAUCAUUAACCUGGCAGAGUUUAUGACAAAGCAGUAAGCACAACACGUGACAUGCCUUUAUUUCUCCUGCUUGUUUACAGUGUUUGUUAGUGCAAAUGUGCCCUAAACAGGCUCACUGUUAGUGAAUGUGUGCGGAUAGUUGAGGUCUGAGAUAGGAUAGGGAUUGCCUUAGUAGGAGGAAGAGCCCCAACAGGAGGUGUGGAGGCUGACUGCCUUUAUCUUUAGGUAGGUUUACUUGCAUUUCCAAGUUUAAGGAGGAAGGAUCAUGCAUGCAUUUUUGUCCUUUAUAGUUUUCUUACACAUAACCAUUAUUAAGUAGAAACAUUGUUCUUGAGUUACCAACCACCGGAGGAACCUGCUGUACAUAAGUGGGGCACAAAUAGAAAUGUUACAAGAUAGGAAAUGGAAGAAUCACUAUAAUCUAACGUUCUCUUCCCUCAAAACGUUCCCUGAAAUACUGCACUCUUUACCAGAAGUCUGUUUUACUGAGUGUAUUCAGAGUGCUUUCAGGAAUGUCUGUGGUGACAAACAGAAAUGGUUGUUAGCAAGUGCAUUAUGUUGAUAGUAGCCAUGUGCUUGGGGAGGCAGUGGAUCAGCUGACUAGCGUUCGUGAAGCUUGGAGGGUGUUUGGUUCAGGAGCACAAGUUUCUCUGAUGAGUGCUUUUAACAUUUCAGAGGGGAAAAAGGAGAAAUUAUACCUAGUCUCUAUUUUAAAAUGGCAGUUUCUUUUCAGUUAUCUAUUAAUAUAACUGUCCCAAGGACCACAGCUCACUUUUGGAAAAGCCUAAUUGAUUAGUUCUUCCAAAUCCUAGGAGACUGGCCAAGAUUUCUGUCUCUUCUUUUAAGGCCACAUGGCUAUAGGCUUGGUUCAUGGGGUCAGCUUUCCCCCCAUAAUGUGUCAGUACACUAGAGUUCCUUUUAAUGGCUACUAUCAGCAUGUGUGGAAUAAUAUAAUUGAUAAACACAUUUACUUGUGAGAUUUGUUGCUGGGGUGCAGCAAAGAAAUCCAUCAUAAUGACCAUCAAAAUGGCAUUAAAAAGCUCAAGUUUUACAAAGUUAAGUUCUUGCCAGCAUGUGAUUUAUCAUGCAAUUAAAAAAUGUUGCUUAAUCUACCAGUGCACUAGGGGAAAAUGAAUUUAAAAAUGAGAUUUCUUUGGUACUAUCAGCCCAUCUCAAUUGGCUUUUACUGUUCUGAUACAGAUGGUUCAUUAUAUAGCCUGCCGUUGGCAGUCGGACUGAGGAGGUGGGGUGCUACUUCAGAGUGUGUGGGAUAACAGGUGGAAAUGGAACUUGUGUAUGCGUCUAUUCAUCACUGGCUUCCUGUUGCUCUGAGCCUCUCCACUGCUUCAUUGUACUGCUUAGACAGCGUUGUUGUAGGUAGAGAUGAAGCUUAGUUCUAAUGAACAUUUAGCUUACCUUACAUGUCCUGUCUCGGUUUUAACGUGUAAAUGUGUGGAAUAAUAUAAUUGAUAAACACAUUUACUCGUGAGAUUCAGAAAAUCAAAAUACUGCCACUCGUGGGCAAGCAGCUCUUGGUUGACUCACGUGAACUGGGCCUCAGUCUUCUGAUAUAGCAAAUAAAGCUUUCCAAGUCUGGCUGCUCAAGUAGGUGUUAGGACUAUUAAGUUUCUUUUGCUGUGCGACUGAGCUCUCAACUCUCGUCCACUGAGCUGUCACCUCCAGGUCACAGUGACGUCCAUGAUGGCAGACUCCUGUGUCUGCUCUCGGACAUUUGUCACACUUGUCCUUUCCGUUGCUCCUUGCACCUUUGGCUCCCCCUGCUUGCGUGAGGGUUCUCCAGAGCAUGUCCUCUCAGCAUUUGGUCCUAGGGUGUCUACUCUGCUCACUCUGUAACUCUCCUCAGUUACCAUCAGUCCAGACAAAGCUUCCUGAGUGCCUAGGAACAGUAGAUCAUUGUGUCUGUGUCUCCUGCCCAGAUUGCGCUAAGGUUUUCUGACCUCCCACCCCCGCUCCUCAUCCUGUAAUUGUUUCACACAACAUUAAAACAUUUCUGUCAUAAUACUCUUCUUUGGCAUGCCUUGCUUACUUGUUAACUUGUUAAUCUAUACCUCCUUCCACCCAGAAUACAAAUCAUACUAUUUAUUGUUGAGGUGGAGUUGCCCAGAUAAAAAUGUUAUCCAGAAUAAAGUUUGGAAUAAAUUAGGUUCUUUAAAAUAUAGGAUGAGAACUUGUGACAUGGAGCAUGUAUUAAUAUACACAAGCAUGCACAAUUUUUUGUGUGUAUAUGCUCUUACUAUUCUGCCUACAGAUAUAUACACUUUACAGUGAAGAGAGUCUUUUCCUAUUUUCUGGUUUGUAGGCAUAUGUAGACCUAUUUGAUAAAUUUUUAUAAUAGGUUUAAGAAACCAGAGUCAGAAUCCUGUGAUUCAUCUUCCCUCUGUUUUCAAGAUAGUAAGGCUCAUGAGUAGAGUUUAUUAAUGGCUAUUGAUUCAGGCAGAAAUGUAUAUUCUGUUUUGAUUACAGUUUUUUCCCCUGUCUUAGGGCUACUUAGCUUUCUGUAUGAACUUGAGGAUCUUACUUUGGAGUGCUAGCUUUAUUCUUAUCACUUGGAUGAGUGGCGUUUCUCUACCUCUGACAUUAAAAGACUAUAAUCUCCAACUCCUGGAGAACUGCCUUUGCUAAACUUCACAUAGUAAAUAUGGAAGUACCCAUGUCAGGGGAAACUGGGCUCUUGGACUGACCCAGACUUCCUGAAUUUUCCUUCUGAGGGAUUUCAAUGACUGGAGUUGUGAAUAUAUAAUGACACUGUAUGUAAUUAAUGUCCUUGUAGGUGCUUUGUCUUCAGGUAAGACCACAUUUGAUAUAUAUUAACCAUGGGGAUAUGAUCCUUUCUAGAAAAGGAUUUAUAAUGGCAGUCUCCAAAGCUGCAAACUGCUCUGUAGUGCGGAGCAUUUCGCAGGUAUCAUUUGUGUGCACCUUUUCAGGGGCCUUUGGGAUGGAGUGAGGUGUGGUAUUCAUUGCAGUGACUUUAUACUCACACUGCACAUUUGUUCUACAUUCUUAAAUGCAAGAAGCACUUGGAGAACUUCAUAUCCUGAAAUUUGAUUAGAAAAUUCUUUGUAGUCUUUUAAUUUUUACUUAAUGACUUUGUUAAUAACUAACAAUAUGCAGAGUACAUGAAAGAAGUUCCUUUUAUGAAAAUUACAUAUAAUUAUUUCUAAAUAACUUUAAUCUUUUAUAUUAUCUCUUCUGUUUUAGCUGGUAAUAUACUGUAAAAAUGGAUUCCCUUUUGUGUUUUUAUAUCCUUGCUUAUAAAAAGAAUGAUCUUAACUUACUUAUGGUAAGAUUUGUCAAAUAAUGAACUUAUAAUAGAGUUUGUAUAAAUGUUAAUUUCUUCAUUUGUUUCUAAGAAGUACUAAGGUAUAAAUAGAUUUUUCUCAAGUUAUGGACAGACUUAAGGCACUAAUGAAAUCAUUUAGGAAAUAAAAACUUUUUACUCCCAAUUUUUAUUAAGUUUACCUAAUGUGUUACCCUCUUUAUGUAAUAGAGAAAUUUAUUUUAUUUAAAAAUGUUUGCCAGUUUUAAAUUUAAUUUACAAAAUCAAUAGUUUUUUAUUGAAAGAUGCUGGGUUUAUAUGGUUUCCUAUUUUCACAGGAUUGGUUGGGGAUGGGGCUCACUGUUAGUUGAAUCAUGUGAAAGAGGCUGGAAUUCAUGAAAAUAUGUGUCUAGAAGGUAAAAGACAGCUGAGUGAGAAUUUUGGUUUCUUAAAAACGCAGAAAUGCUGUAAGAAUGUAUUAUUUAUUUAUUUACAUCCCAAAUGCUUCCCCAUGCCCAUCCCCCCCCCAUCCCCUUCUCAGAGUCCCUUCUGCCUUCCCUUCUCUGAGAGGGUGUGGCCUCUUAUGUAUCCCCCCACCUUGCUACAUCAAAUCUUUGCCAGAUUAGACACACUUGUCUCUCACUGAGGCCAAACAAGGCAUCCCUGGAGACUGAGCUGCAUGUCUAUUCCAUAAGAGCCCGUGUGUGGUUUUUUGGCUAGUGGCUCAGUCUCUGAGAGCUCCCACAGGAGCAGGUUAGUUGACUCUGUUGGUCUUCCUGUGGGGUUCCUAUCCCCUUCAGGUCCUUCAGUUCUUCCUUUAAGAGUCCCUGGCCUCCAUUCAAUGUUUGGCUGUGGGUAUCUGCAUCUGUUUCAGUCUGUUGCUGGGUAGAGUCUUUCAGAGGACAGUUAUGCUAGGAAGCAUAACAGAGUAUCAUUAAUAAUGUCAGGGAUUGAUACUUGCCCAUGGGAUUGUUUUCAAGUUGGGCUGGUUAUUUGUUGGCCAUUCCUUCAGCUUUGUCACUGCAUUUCUUUUAGACAGGACAAAUUUUCGGUCUAAAGUUUUGUGGGUGGCUUGGUGUCCCCUUCUGCUGGGGUUCCUGCCUGGCUACAGUAGGUGGCUUCUUCCAGUUCCUGUCAGUACUGUUAAGCAUCUUAGGUAAGGUCAUCCACAUUGACUCCUGGGUGUCCUCCCCCAUCACAGGUCUUUGGGACUUACUAUAGAUCCCCCCACCUCCAACUCUCACACUUGAUCCUACCGACAUUCCCCCUCCCCCUCACCUCUUCCGCCCAGUUAUCUCCUACCCCCUGCCUCCUAUGACUAUUUUCCUCUUUUAAGUGUUAUUCAAAUAUCCUCACUUGGCCUUCCUCCUCCUCUUCCUCCUCCUCCUCCUUCUUUUUUUUUUUUUUUUUUUUUUUUGAGACAGGAUUUCUCUGUAUAGCCCUGGCUGUCCUGGAACUCACUUUGUAGACCAGGCUGGCCUCAAACUCAGAAAUUUGCCUGCCUCUGCCUCCCAAGUGCUGGGAUUAAAGGCAUGCGCCACCACCUGGCGGGCCUUCCUUCUUGUUUAACUUCUUUGGGUUUGGGGAUGUAUCAUGGGCAUUCUGUAAUUUAUGUUUCAAUCCUAGGUGUAGGAUAUGGGGUUGCUUUAGAUUGUCCACAGCAGCUAUGAUUUGCCUUGUGCUUUAGCAGGGGUGUGAAUAUGCCAGUGGCACAUAGUUUCUAUGAUUGUGUGAUAUUUGGAAUUCUGGGGAGUUUUCCGAGGAUAUAUAAAUGGUAGGGCCCUUAGAGGUUGGUGGGCUGCUAGUUGGAGGGUUGGUGGAAGGAUGCUGUUGUUUUGUUAUGUAAUCAUGCACAGAGAAGAAACAAAGAUUGAAAGAACAGGUUAGAUACCCUGAUGGCUAAGAUCAAAUUUGUCCCAAAGAACUAAUGCAGCUAAUCAGCAGGAAAUACUCUAAGGCUAUUGUUGCCCCCUUUCCUACCUCUGACUUUAUGUCUGUCUGUCUGUCUGUCUGUCUCCCCCCCCCCCCCAAUGUCCUUCUUUCUCUCCACCUAGUAUUGGGGGAAGAAGAGAAGUGGAGAAGAGAAAAAAAAGAGAGAAAAAGAAGAACCCACAAAGUAGCCCAAAAUCUGACAACAGUCAUUACAAAGUGAUGUGGAUAUCCUCACUUGUUAUAAGAACUUUGGUCAUUAUUAAUAGCCUUGCUUUAAAACCACUCCAUUGCAUUCAUUUAUUUGUUGAAUUACAAGAAAAGUAGAGAUGUUAAUGUUUCCAAGUUUAAAAGCCAUAUGUGCAUUUAUACUAUACUUUAAUGGCUCUCUUUUUUUUAAAAGAAAUUAUAUGAAAAAUAAUAAAUUCUAAUGUGGUCUUGCAUGAUGGCUUUUUAAAAGAAGAUAAAAACAACUCCUGCAAUCUAAUUUUCUGAGGUGUCAUUUGAGGUUGUGCAUGGGUUUCUCUCGCCCGCACUGGCUGUGAGGUGUGGAUUGCUCCCUCCCUGCUUUCUUCAGGUUGCAUUUAUUUUAUGCAACUCAUACUGAGUUGAAUAUUUUUAGAAAACAGAAAAGACCAUAAGUAUUAUGGCAGGUAAUGAAGACUGUAUUUAUUAGGAUUUCAUGAGGAUGGCCAAUAGUUGUCUCAUAAGACACAACUCUUAGGACUAUUUUACAUUUUCAAAAUGAGGUUUCUAUAAGGGAGAAAUUACCUCAUGUAACCUAUUAACAAAAUUCAAAAGAAAUUGAUAUUAACAUGCAGGUGGUAGUAUCAAUUAUUUUAGAAUCUAAAAAAUAAAAUAGUUCUGUUUGUUGAUUCAGAGCUCACUAGUCCACUGAUCCUGCUCGUGCAAGGUCGAACAGUCCUCUAAGUAGAGAGUGAGGAUGUUUAUAGGAGAGAUGGAAACGAAGUCUCAGAGACAAAAGUUAGUAAUUGGGAGGGCUAUCCAGUGAAUACUGUGGCAGCCUCAAGUUUAAUUUGCAUAGUCUUUAUAUACUUUACAAUAUCAUGGGAAACAAAGUCAUGAGCUAGCAGAGACAAUGGCUGACAUACAUUGGCUAUCUAUACCCUAUCUGGAUGCCUCUCUGUUCCUUCCUCCAAGAUUAACAGAACAUUAAGCCCCUUGCCUUGAGCUUCAAGUGUAUCCUCUCUUAUCAUCCCAUGCAUCAGCAGGUCAGGAAAUCUGCCAGUAGACUCUGGCCUGUCUUGAAUCUGCCUGACAGGCAGGCUUUUCAGAAGCAGGCUAAAUGGCUCCUGACAACUAGUUAGUGCUUUUCAGGACUAUUCUUAGCUAUAGAACACUUGUCCUGUUUAAGUCUGAUUUCACAGUUCAGAAGAGAGAAUAAAUUAAAGUGGACAUAGUUUGAUGAGAAGGACUUGGGUUCACUGGCCCACCUGUGUAGGCUCUUACCGCUCCUGUCCUUUGCCCUUUUUUGUUGUAGAUGCCUGGAAAACCAUUGUCAGCCUUUAUAGACAGUCAGAAGCAGAUAAAUCGCCACACACCUUAAAACUUAAUACACAGAGAGGUGACAUUACAGAUUGAUAAAAGGCAGAUGAAUCAAGAAACGUGGUGUGAUAAUUGAUUAUCCAUAUAGAAAAUAAAAUUGAAUUUGCUCAUUGUACCAUUUAGAAAAAUAAGAUUGUAAUGGAUUGAGAACUCAGAUAUGAAAUGUAAAAUGUAUUAAGAAGACUUUUCAUAGCAGUACUUUUCAAAUAGCACAAACCUAGAAACAGCUCUCAUGUUCAUCAACGGGAGGAUGGUUAUGUAGAGUGCAGAAGGUUUAUACAGGGUGCAGUGUAGUGGUGAAAGUGAAUGAAUUAUUGUACAGUGACUCAGUUAUACACAACAACAUAAGAAAACUCAUCCCCUCCCCCCUCCCUUGCCCCCCCCAUCUUUGUUUCUCUCUGUCUGUUGGUAUGUCUUUGUCUUCACACAAAUCCAGUACCUACAAAUGAAUUUAGAUGGCUGUCAGAAGCGGAUAGAAAUGAAGAGUAUAUUACUUAGGUGGCCAUCUUUGAGUGAUAAAAUGUACAGAAGCUAAGCUGAGGAAUUACACACAAACUCAGAAAUAUUCCCCACUGAAGCCAUAGACUCUGUAGGACCUGUGCUGUCUUUUUUAUUCUUUUUUUAAAAUGGUGCAAAUGUCAUAGGCACUAUUUUAUAUGUUAUACUCUCACAUAAAGUACAGAAUGAACAAGUAAUUAAAAAGGCGUAUUGUAAGGCCAGAAUAUAACAUCAUGUAUCUUAUUUGAUGUUUGUAUCAUCAAAUCUGGACUUUCCUAACAGUAGGGUGAAUUUUUUGGCCUGUACCAUCUCAUUGAAACCUGAUUCCCCCCACCCCCAAAUCUGUGACUUCCUCCUGAGCUCUUAACUAACUUAACUAGCUCCCCAGAAGAUAAUGUCUGUGUCAGGUACUUUCCUCGUGUGUCACCUGUGUUGCUUUCCCUCAAGCUCCACUGUGCAGUGGUUACCAAGGCUGAGUUGGAGUCACUGGCUGGAAUGUGUUUACUUCUUAUAUUUUCCUUCCCUGUGUAUUCAUUGGUCCUGUACAACUUCGUGAUAUGUUUACUUGUGCUAGGCGCUUUUCUAAAUGGCAGGAUUCAAUAAUGUGUGAAACUGAGAUACCAAAGCUUUUAAAUUCAGACUCCAUUUUAGAGAACCUGGCCUAACUUUGAACUCAGGUAGACUAACAGGCUGGUAGCAUUAGUUUCCAAGUUGCCUCCCAACAAAACCUCUAGGCUAAUCCCCAACAAGACCAGUGUCUCCAGGUCAUUCCCCCAACAAACCUGCACCCCAGGUUAUAAGCCCACCUCUUGCCUAUUGACCACCAAGGUAGAGGGGAACCGAAGUUAAGUUCCCAGCACCAGCCAAUUGUGUUAAAGGCCGCAGUAGCUUUCUGAUUAGCUGCACAGAUAUUACCUGCUUGCUGCUUACUAUAAAGGCUUGCCCCGAUAGACAUUCGGGGAUCUCCCCCGCCCCCAAAACCAUCCUGAUGGUGGUGUGCCGGGGGGGGGGGGGUUGGUGUGGAUGGAUGCGAGCUAGCUCAAAUAGAAUAUAGACCCUGCUGUGAGUUGCAUCAGAUUGGCUUUUGUCUGUUUUGGGGGGAUCAGUAGCAUUUUCCUGGCACAACACAGCCAGUUUUAUAAACAGCUAUUGUAUAAUUCUACUGUGCUUUAUAUAACCAUCCUCCUGUGUGUGUAAAAGAAAAGAAACAGACUGUUCAUAACCCAGACUGACAUUUACAGCCAGCGUUGUUUUACCUCAGUUCUGUUCUCAUACAGUCCCUGAAUUUUACAUAAUUUUGGGGCUACAUAGACUAUGAGGACUUCAAACAUUGUCUACAUCUAGCCACAGGUAUAUGAUUUAUUUCUUGCCAUAAGUUAUGAGAAAAGAAUUGUGUGUUACUUCAGGUCACCCAUAUAAGAGAAGAAACAGCAUCUCCUCCUCCAGCCCAGCAUGUAUGUGAAGACACGCUUGUAUUGGAAUGUGGUGAGGAGCUUCUUAGAUAAUGCAGAUGAGAGUGUACUAUAAGGACUAAGAGCUAAGAAAUAGAAGGAGCUCAGGUCUCCUGUCCCCUGCAGUGCAGCACCUCUGAUGUACUCAGCUGGAGGGUUCCAUGCUACCCCAGAGAGGAUAGGUUCUCUGUGUUGUUUCAAGUUUUCUGUUUAUUAUUACUUCCAGUUCUACUUAGACUCUAGGUUCUCAUGCCAAAACGUAAUGGCAGUAUUGUGACACUCAGGGUGGAGUUGUAUGUUUGCAUAUGCAAAUGUUAGAAGAGGCAGAGCCUCCCAUCCAUCUGGAAGGCUUUUCAUAUAAAAAGGGACAGGCAUUUCCAUUGCUGGGCAUAAAUCCGUGAAGGGUGCUAGAGGAAAGCUGCCCCUCUUAACCCAAGGUUCAGAGUGUGAUGCAGACUCUUUCAUUAAUCAGGGAGCUCCAUUUGUAUAGAUUGAUUUAUACUUACUCUAAUUUGUUACUUUGGGAAACAGAUGAUGCAGAGCACACCAAAGUAGUUGCCACUGCUUAUCCUAACAUCCAUGAGAUUAACACACAGUUCUGCAGAAGUGAUGAUAGGGGGAUAAAGGUCGUUAGCAUGUGAACAAAUGAUAAAUGUUAUCACGCACUGACUUUUCUGAAUAUUGGUGAAGUUUCAUAUUUGUACAACUUUAUAAAGACCCAUGUAGAAAAUGUAACAUUUUUAUAUGUAGCCAUUAUAGAGUGACCUACUUGGGUAUGUUAGAUGAGGCUGGGCAGGACGUAUCUGGAGGGACCAUAUCAUGAAGGAUCAGCCUAACCCAUUUCUAAAGCACCUUGAUUUAAAAAUAGAAUGUUUUGUUAAGUUGAAAUGGUGGUGGCAGCUUUGUACUACAUAGAGUUUUCAGAAUUCUUCAUGUUCACAUCUGAUUUCCAGUUUGUGAUUAUGGUGUGAAUGAAAAUACGUAUGAAGUUACUUCUGGCUUCCCCACAAAUUUAAACUCAAAAAGCCAUAUUAUACUAAUAUAUGAAAUGCUACAUGAAUAUUGUAAUAGUCAUAAUAUAGGAUGUUCAUUCCUAGAAUUGUGAUGACAUCUACUGAAUUGCAGCCAGUUCAUUUGCAUAUUCAUGCCCACUUAGCUCAAAGAAGUCCCUGUUUGUUUGCACAUUAAUGUCUGGUUUCUGCAUCAGUUAACUAAUUUACAUAUCCCUGUUCAGUUGGUUAGUGAUGUUCAUGUGUGGAGCGCUGGUAUAGCUCUGUGCUUUGAGUGGCUUGGGAAAUGUUAUAGCUUAAUGGAGGAGCACCUAUGUCUCAUACUUUUACUUCAUGGACCAGUUGUUUUACAUGUAAGCUAGAUUGCUUACAUAUUUGUAAUAUGAUACAAGAAACACUUACCUGCCCAUUUCUAGGGUUUGUAUCCAUUGCCACAUUCACAGUAAGGAGGUAGCAGUAACAUUUCGAGACCAGUUCUAUUCUGGACUCUACUUCUGGAGGGCUCCUUGUGCAUCUCCCGUGUAAGAAGGGGCGGUAGGUAUGAUAGAAGACAAAGUUCUAGUAAGUGACACAACUUCCUUUGUAGAUCAAAGGAGAAAAGACAAUAUUUUCUUGGAAAGUCAUAGAAGACAUUAUAGAGGAAGGGGCUGUACCUCUAAGGUUAAAAAUGAGAUAACCACCUGACCAAGGCAGUUUGAGUGACCAAAUGUAGUUAAUUGGCUACACUCUGGAGUGGUUGUACCUGAGUCCACAGAUAUGGGACUGCCCUGCAGUUAUAAACAUUUUAUUUUGGUCAAAGUGAGUGUAUGAGAAGGAUUAGACCUAGGGAUGGGAAAAAAAUGAGUAGAUCUUAAAAGACUUUAUAAUAUAGCAUAAAGCUUGUAUUUUCUCCUAUGAAUGAUAAUCUCUGAGGUCUCCCUGGAGGAGAAGGAGGUAGUCAACUUUUCAUACUAGAAAAGUGCUCGAUGUCUGUGUGGAGACGGAUGUGAGCGCAGUGAAAGCAGUGACGUCACAAGGUGGGCUCCUACAAGACUUCUGGCCCUCCCAGGACGAAUGGGAACAGUGUCAGAGGCUGAUUUGAAAAUGCAUGAUUUGAAAUUCCAGUUGUACAUGGAAUUCUUUGUUGUGUUUGAUCUUGAGAUACACAUUUUGGCUCAUUAACAGUUUUGCAAUCUGGUGACUUAGGUACAUGUGAUGUCAUUUGUUUAAGAAGUUAAUGUAAGUAAGAGAGAAAUUCUCCUUAAACUUUUGUCUGUCUGUCUGUCUGUCUGUCUGUCUGUCUAUCUAUCAAUUGAUCAUAUAUCUAUCAUUUAUUAUAUGCAUAUGUGUGCAUUCAUAUAUGAGUGUUUGUAAGUAUGUAUGAAACUAUAUAUGUUCAUAAGUGUCUCAGUGUGUGUAUAUGACACAACAUUUGUAUGAAUGAGCAGACAGCUUUCAGGAGUUGGUUCCCUCCUCCCACCAUGUAGGUGUGUAUAUCUCGUGGGCUGAGAAGUGGGGGCUGUAUUGAGCUCCAGUUGUCAGGUUUGGCAAGUGCCCUUAGUUGUUGAGCGAGCUUGCUAGGCUAGGAGAGUAGUUGUCAAUGUGAUGUUAGAUUAGUAUGAAGAUAGCUAGUGUUUGUCAGUUUGUUUAGAGCUAUCUAAUCUAGUCACUAGACUGGUACUCCAACUUGUUCAAAUGUUCACACUGCUUUUAGCAGUUUGUGAUUGCCUACACCAUUUUUACUCCCAAGUCCAAAGUGAGGGAGUGAUGGCUGUCAUCUCGCCCUUUUCCUUUUUUUUUUUAAUUUUAAAAUUGUAAACAAUCCCCCCCCCCUUUUUUUGUAAGCUUUGAUUGACCUAUUAUUUGCAGGAUAGAUUUUAAUCUCUGAAAUAGAUAAGUUCCUUAUUUUUUGUUCCUAGAUGGAUUCUGUAUUAUUGUAUUAAAAUCCAGUUUACCAAUAUCUUUUCAGAUAAAAUUCUCUAAAAUCUUGUGCACACUACUUAACCAAUUUUCUCAGUUGAGAAAAGAAAUAAAAUUAUUCCUGAAAGCCUUGUUCAUCUGGAAAGUUAAAUGUUUUUGGACUCUAAAUCAUUUGUUGUUUGUUCCUCAAAUAAGCAUCUUAGGACUAGUCAAAUGUCUAGAAUAUGGUUCUGGAUCAGGCUUGCUACAUGGUUGAUGUUCAAAUUACCUCUUCUCUAUGUUGCUUCAUUUCCUAUACAAUCAAAUCAGGGCUAAAAAGAAACAAUUUGAAAUUGUUUUAAAAGAACAUAAAAAUUUCAGAAAAGAUGUAUGUAUAUUUAUCAGAAUUUCUCAUAAAAGACCAUAGAUGGAUGAUGGAUAGAUGGGUCAAGAGAGAGAGAGAGAGAGAGAGAGAGAGAGAGAGAGAGAGAGAGAGAGAGAGAGAGAGAGAGAGAGAAAGAGAGAAAGAGAGAAAGAGAGAGAGAGACACUUAGAUAUAUAAUAAGUAUAGGCUAGAAGAAUUGAACUCAUUUAACCAUGAAGGGAGAAAAGCCCAUGACGUGUAAACUGGAGACCCAAGAAAGAAAGACCAUGGUGAAAUUUCAUUUUAAACUGAAAGCUGGAGAAACAUGGGGUAGUGAUGUAAAUGCCUGUCGAGGGUGUAGGCCCCAGAACUAGAGCGAUAGAGGAGUAGCUUAGCUUCUGGUUGUGGUUGUAAGAAGACAGUGCAGUGCCAGAGACUGGGCAGGAAGGCACGGUCAUCCCAGCAUGAGCAUGCUGCCAUGGCCCCUUCUCACUGAUCUGAUAUGGCCUCCAUGGAUAUGAUGCUUCCUUGAUUAGGAAGGUUUUCUUUUCCUAGUCCAGGGAUUCACAUGGUAAUUUCUUACAAAACUACUCUCACAGACACUCCCAGAAAUAAUACUUUAGUAGCUAUCUACCUGAGCAUCGUUGUACAUUAAAGUUAUCACUGAGACAGUCAGUUGUAUUUAUAGCUAACGUGAGAUGGAAGGUUGGACUUUACUUGGGACUCAAGCAGAAUAGACAUCAUUCCUUACAAGCAUGGUUGUUGAAGGAGGACUGAUAGAAACAAAGUUGUUAAUGAGACAAUCCAUCACUCAGUUAGUUAUGGAGACUGUGAGGACCCGGAACUCUUAUUGAGAACCAGUAAUUCUCCCCUUCGUAGGCCUCUUGUUAAUCACUUAACAGUUGUAAUAUUAGAUGUAUUGUCUUAACAGAUGUUUAACAUCUGAAUUGUGGAUAAGUUCAAUCAUGUCUAAAACUAUUUAAUGUGAUAAACUCAAUAGAUAUAGUGUCUGUAAUGGAAAUGGAUUUGGUAUAACAUCUAUGGAAUUAAAAUCUCCUCUUGCUCACAUGUAAGUCAACAUCCUUUUUGUUUUUUGUUUUUGUUGUUGUUUUUUUUUUCAUUUUUAUUUCUAGGACAUUUUCUUUUUAAAAGCAGAUAUAUUGCCCAAGGGGAAGUCUUAGUUUAUUUUAAGUAUCUUAUGUUUUCUAUAUUUUAAAUGGUUUUUGAGUAGGCUCAAAUUAUAUUUGCUGUGUUUUAUACUUUGAGCUAAAUAAUUGCUGCAAAUAUAUUAUAAGUAAUAGUUCAAAAGGUAUUUUAUCUCUAGUAAGCAUACCAUUUAUUAGGUAAAUGCUCUUUUCUGAGUGCCCUCCGUUUAACUAUUCUUUGUUGAUAUUGUUAUCAUUUUAGAUAAAAGUACUCGUAGUAAAAUGUUUGAAGUAGUCAGUGAUAGAGAUUUCUCCUGCUUCUUGGCAGUUCGAUCCCUGCUGUUGGCAUAUUCCUUAUUUUCUAAUGCUGUCACUUCAUUUUGCCUUUUUCUCCCCUAUAGUGAAAUAAUGUUUGUCCUUUUUUACUUAGCAAAAACUCUGUGGGAUGUAUUUGUUGUUGUAUACGUUGUUUUCUAUUAUUCUGUAGCAUUUCCUCCUGUGACUGCAGGAGAACCCAUUCUCAUUUCUGUAGACUUUGAUUACUCGCACUUGGAGUUUCAGGUUAUUCUGCUAAGGAAAGCUUCGUACUUCGUGUUCAUUUCUCUUGGGUACAUUCAGGGGUAGCACUGCUGCAUCUAGAGUUAGGUGUUUAGGUUUAAAAAAUACUAACACGUCUGAUAAAUACACAUUUAUCAGACAUUGUAUGGAAAUUCCAAUUCUAUAUUUUCAGUGCCUGGUGUUUUUAGUUGUGCUGGGCAUCUGUCCCCCUUGCUGACAGGAUUUCCUUUUAAGGAAUCUAAGCACCCUCUUGUAUUAUUCUUUUCCAUCUCAUUCUGACAACUUCCUGGAUUUAUUUACCUUUUAGACUACAUAUCAAUUCACUGAUUUCCAGUAUAUCUUUCCAUAGUAACUAGAUGUGUGUCCUGAUUGUGUCGAAGUGGUUUUAUCCAGCGUUCUUAGGAAGCCCUGUUUGUUGUUGCUUGCUUGUCUGUUUGCAUGUUUAUUUGAGUCAGGGUCAUGUUGUAUAGCUCUGCUUGGCCUAGCACUGGACAAGUAGAGCACUUUCCUCAUAGGUAUCACUUAUUAAUUUCUCAGUAACUUUGAGGUUGAUGUCAAUGGCAUUUAUUUUCAUCUCUCUUGGCCAUUACUUGUUCAGUGAUGUACAAUUUUGAAUUAUUCCUCUAAUGCAUAUUUGCCAUAGGUAUCUCUACAGUUGGUAGGCAUAUCCAUAACCUUGUGUAAUUCCUUUCCCAGUGUUGGCAAGAAUCUGUAGCUGUGAUAAAUGGUCAGUCCUAUGAUUUUCAGACAUUAUAUAAAAGUAGUGGAAGAGGUUUGAAUGUUAUUAAGAAUUAACUACAAGGGAUGUUCAUUGUCUCUAACUGGUUUUGUUAUCAGGGACAGUUGAGGUUCCUGUUUUGGGUUCUAAGUAUCCUUAAUAAAUUAAUUUUUAAAAGGAUUCUGAAGGAAACUCGAGCUCAGUUUUAUUCUUUAGGAAGAAAACAAUAUACAGAAGCUGUAAUUUGCAGCAUCCUCUAGGAGGAUGGGGGAUGGAAGAAGAGUGGUGACUUUAUAUUAGUUGUGACAUUAAGAGAAACUGAGACUGCCAGAGAGUCAAGGAGAGCAUGAUUUGGAAUGCUGAGCUGCAGAUGGGGAUCAUUCACAAGACUCUCCAUUCUCUCGAUAGAACAGAAGAUUGUGCCGUGGACACAUGAACAGAGAUGGAGCUAGCACUUAAGAAAGGAAUGAAUUCCACUCAAGAAUGGAAGAGGGUUGGUGGCUAAGGAAAGAGCUCCAUGCCUUCAGAUGCUUGGUGCAUGGUGUAUAGCCUUUUAUAGUCUCUGCCUCCCCAUUUGUUUUUCUUGGGCUUUUUCUAUUCAAGCUCUGUUCCUUAGAUGGAGCCCAGCCAAGAAAAGGCUUCAAGUCUUCCUUUGCAAAGUGGCUUCUUCUAUAUUGUCAUUUUGGUGUUUCAAUAAAGUCCCUAUUCAGCCAUAGCCUUAUUAAGCAAGCAAGCUGUUAAAGGGGACAAGAAACAAUACAUAGGACUUUUAGAAGUAAAGUUUAAUAAAAAGAGUGGUUCACAUUUUCAGGGAUAGGGUAACCACCAUGUAACAUUCACAGGGAAAACAUGGCCCUCAGUUCAGAACCACAGGAACUGAAUUCUCCCGCAACUGGAACAAUUUACUGAGAGGGCUCCAGAACUUUCAUGAGAGUGUGAACCUGAACCUUCAUUGAGAUAUGAGGCUCUCUACUAGAAUCAGCUUGUCUGCAACAGUAUUUAUAACCUGUAGAAAUUGUGAGAAUGAUGCACUAUGUUGUAUUAAGCUCUGGAUCCACAGUACUGUGUUAUCUAUCUGUAGGAAACCAUUGCACAAUCCAAUCUUGAUACUACACAGUUCUUCCUUUGGGACUCCAAGGUUAAUGGAUGUUUAUAAAUGAUUUCUCUUACUUUAAGAAGGAAAAUGUGAACCUGUUUUUUCUUUUCCUAUUCCAAAUUGAUUCUAGCUCUCAGUCUUAACAGUUUCUCUCUGUAUUUCUAAUUCUCUAUGACUUUUGUUUCUUUGGGAACCUAUAGGGAAAAUAUAUGGGGUAAGAAGUUUUCUGUGAAAUAACGUUUGAAAAAUAUUUAUAGAAUUUUUAAAUGUACAAGUAAAACCUAAUCAUUGUAACUGUCCAAGAAAGGGUAAACAGAUUGUGUUUCUUUCUCUUUGGUAUCAGUCUUAGUAAGGGAUUUAUUGUUGGAAAGAGACAUCAUGGCCACAGCAACAUUUACAAAGGAAAACAUUUUAUUGGGGCUGGCUUACAGUUUCAGAUCAUUAGUCCAUUAUCAUCAUGGUGGGAAGCCUUCCAUUGUGUAGGCAGACAUGGUGCUGGAGUCUGAGCUGAGAGUUCUGCAUCUUGAUCCUCAGGCAGCAGGAGACUGUGUGCCACACUGAGUGUAGUCUGGGCAUAGGAGACCUCAAAGCAUGCCUCUAGAGUGACACACUUACUUCAGCAAGUUCAUAUCCAUUUCAACAUGGCCACACUUCCUAAUAGUUCCACUCUCAAUGGCCAAGCAUGCAAACAUAUGGAUCUUUGGAUGCCAUUCCUAUUCAUAUCACCACAGUACCUAACAAUGAACUUGUCUAAUUAUAAUUACUCAUGGACUUCCUUGGUUGCCACUGCCCCAACCCUACUCUUCUUUAAUUUGUCUACUCAUUAAAUAGCACUCUGCACUGGCUGUUGAGCCUGGAUGUCAACCUGGAGGAACAUCUUGGCUCCUCUUUUGCCUCCCCUGAAUCCAUCACCAGAUCCUGAGGAUGCUUCCCAGUGCUUUUACAAAUCCCGAUUUUGAGACUUGCUGCUUUUUGAACUGGUCUUUGCAAUGAUGAUGCAGUCCUCUGGCUAGCUGAGAGGACUCCCUAUGCUUUCUCUGUCGAUUCCUGGUCUUGUAACAUGCGGCUUGCUAGCUUCAGAUCAUUGAGAAACAGGUGCUUUAAGUGAAUAACCUUCACCCUCUGAUAAAUGAGUUCAUCCAGGAUGCCGCUGCUAUAAUCAUAGUUGAGUGAGACUUGUUUGAAUUUCUUCAUUUGCCUAGCAUACUGUGCCAUUCAAUUUUAAUACCCACCAGCUGUUUUCAUUGAAAGUUUAGACACAUCUGAUCCAGUGCACUUAUAUUUCAUUGACCAAGUCCACGUGUGAUGUUACAAUCAUGUCCACUUCAAAUAAUAUUUGUGGUGAUAGGAGACAGGUUAAUAGCUGUGAAACCAAAAGGCUACUAUACAGAAAUGCUCAGUGUCCCAUGAUGUUGAAUACUUGGAAAUCCAUCUAGGAAUGUUAAUCUGAGGGCUGCUCUUACUUGUCAGAUAAAAAAGAAAAUUCCUUCCCUUCUUGAUAAGUAUGGGAUUUAAGAUAUAAAUUCCAGAGAAUGAAAUACCCUACACGAGGAUGUUGCUGCCUCUUAGAAAUUAGACCAAUGAUUAUGAAUAUUAGCUUUUAGUGCUUCCAAUGGAAUCUAUUCAUCUUAGAUUUUUCACACAUGAAUACACUGUAUUUAUACUAUUUCCAUAACUUCCUCUUUACACCGUUCAACUAUUCCUGUGCCAUUGGCAUCAUUCCUUCUCAAAUUCAUGAUCUCAAAUUGUUAAUAUCUCUCCUCUCUCCUCUCCUCUCCUCUCCUCUCCUCUCCUCUCCUCUCCUCUCCUCUCCUCUCCUCUCCUCUCCCCGCCCCUCCCCUCCCCUCCCCCUCCUCCUCCCCAGUCCCCUUCUCUCCCCUCCCUCUCCUUCUCCCCACAUAUACACCCUCCCCCAGACACUUUAAUGAGUCUAGUUAGUAUUGACUUUAUUUAUGUAUGUCUAGGGCUGAACAGUUAGGAUUGGGAGACCUAUCAGGGGCCCUGCACCUAGAGAAUACUGAUUCCCAUUCUCAGUAUUCUCAGCACCUAUUCACUGCCUGAUGCUAGUCACCAGGGGUUGGGACCUUGUGAAAAUUUACUCCAUCUACAUUGGCGUGUGAACAGGUGUGAUCUGGUGCAGGAGGCAUAUUGUUGAGAGUUUAUGGGUAUAGCAUUCCUGUCAUAUCUAACAGACUCUUGCAGCUAUGAUCCUGGUCCUCUGACUUUUAUAGUCUUUGUAGCCUGCUUCUCUUUGAUUCCCUGAGCCUUAGAAGUAGGGCUUGAAUUCUGCUCAGCUGGGGUUCCUCCAUGCUCACUUAUUCUCUCCAUGUUGACCAGUUGUAGAUCUCUGUAGUAGACUCUCUGAGCUGCAAGAAAAAGCUGCUGUUUUGAAGAGUGAGGGCUGUACUGACUCAGAAAGUAGUUGCUGUUGCCAGUUUCUAUUUCUUUUUAAUUAUGUGUCUGGGUGUGACUGUGUGCAAGUCCUGGUGGCUAGAGAGGCGAGAAGAUGGUGUAGGAUCCCCUUUAGCUAGAGGUAUAGGCUGUCCUGAACACAAAAGUGGGUCCUGGUUUCCUUACAGCAUACUGAAUUUCAGUCCCUGUAAAAUUGAAGAGCCUUUACCCACAGAGCCAUCUUUCCAGAACCCAAGAAUCUUUAAUUUUGAUUAAUUUACCAUUUGUCACUCAGGGACCUUCCAUAUCUGACAUAGAUUAUCUUUUUAUUAUCUUCACAUUUUAGUGGAGAAACUCCUUUUCUCAUACUAGAUUAGCUUCAAUUAUAGUAAUCAUCUUUCAAAUAGUUAUUUGAAAUUAUUUGUUUAAAGUGUGGGUUUAUUGUUUUUAUACCAUGCAGCUAGAGGCCAAGUUCUUGUGUUCUUUUGUAAGGCUGAGAUGCUUUAUGUCACAGGUUAGCAUGAGAUUUCUAGAUGGAGUGAAAUCAUCUUGUCUACGAUUUUGUGACUGGCUUCUCUCUCUCUGUCUCUCUGUCUCUCUGUCUCUCUGUCUCUCUCUCUCUCUCUCUCUCACUCUCUUGCUCUCUCUCGCUCUUUUGCUCUCUCUUGCUCUCUCUUCCCUCCCCUUCCCCUCCCCCUCCCCUCCCUCCCUCCCUCCCUCCCUCCCUCCCUCCCUCCCUUCCUUCUUUCUUUCCUACCCAAUGAUUUGACCUUCUCUUGAAUAACUGGCUGAUUCAGGGUUUGUUUCCUCUCAUGGAUGAGUAGUACUCUGUUGUGUGAACAUGUCACAUAGUGUUUAACCUGUCAGUUGUUGAUUUGCAUUGAUUCUGUCCCUCGGUUUCUGACCCUGUGAAUGCUAUGUUACAAACAUAUGUUCACAUUUUUGUGUGAGACAAGCAUUUUUAAAUUCAUUAGGAAUAUAUAGAAGUUGGAUUGCAGGUUCAAGCAUGACAUUACUUUUGCUUAACUUUUUAAGAAACCAAGUAGGUUUCCAAAGUGAGUGUAUUUUAUAUUCCUGCCUGCAGUGUAUGCCAAAGUUUGAUAUUGUCUGUCUUCUCAAUGUGAGACAUCCAAGUGAAUAUCUAGUUGUAUCAUUGUGGUUAGUGUGUCUCUUUUUAACGUAACAUCUUAGAGAUGUAUGAGACUAUAGAGAUGCCCAUUUGAUUCUUUUAUUUCCAAAUUAGAAUUGGCUACUAAUCCUUUUUAUUUCAUAUAAUUAGUUUAAACCCCUAAUUUUAUGUCAUUUCCUUUGGAAUACAUCAUAUAUACCUUCAUUAAGUUUUAAAAAUAUAGGAUAGUUAUAUGUAUUUAUAUUAUAAGCCCCUAGAAAAGCUAUAUGUUAAUUUACUUAUAUUUUAAAAAUAGUGCUUACUGAAACACUUAUUCCUAUGUAUAUAUCUGAUGUCAUAAUUAUCUGAAAGUCUGUGAGUUUGUUCUGAAGAAGUCCUGCUCUAAAGCUAAGCCUUUAGCCAAUGGUUUACAGUAACCACAGGGCUCAUGUAAAAUGUGGCUAAUUAAGAUUCUUCAUGUUUGAGCGCCACCAUGUAGGUACAUGGUAUCUUACACCCACUAGCUGUAAAUUAAAACUUGCAGAAUAUGAGCCUCAGCCCAUGCAAAAUGAAGUUAUGUAUAGGUGACUUGCUCUGUUUGAAUUAAUGAAGGGGCUGCUGGUAUCGACCAGCUGUGCUCUCUGAUGACAAAAACGAGUCUUGACAUUUUGGGUAAUGAAAAUUCAGUUCAGCACCUCUUAGAGAUAUGUAUGAUAAUAUAUUGUCAGUCAGAAAAGACAGAAGAGAAGCACAAACCUGGUCUUAUUAAAAUGGUGUGACAUGUGGACACUGCUCGAUCUCUGCUUUCUAGGGGGAAUGUGUCAGGGGAAACCUCUUUUUAAGAUGAUAGGAAUAACUCUCUUGUGGAACGGGGGAGAGGAUUUGACUUUGGUACAUGACCUCUUUGAUAGUUGCCUUUGUUCAUGAUUCCUAGUUUUGUGGCUUGUUUUACUGGGUACAGGGUGAGACAUGAAAGCUCUGGAAAGGAUACUGGCCUUUUUGGCUUGACAGUAUUAAUGCAAUUGUCUAGUUCAUACCUUGUAAGCCCACUCAUUAUUUCCUCUGCAUGUGUUUCUCUAGUUUAGCGGAUUAGCUGCACUGUCUCUUCAAAGGCUAUCCAAUCAAGGAGGGGUUAUUAAAACCAGGGCGAUUUAUGACUGAGAAUUAAUUAGAGAAGCAUUUUCAUGCAAAACAUCCAAUUUUUUGAUUAGCAGUGGAGCAGGGCCGCAAUUAGCACUCUAGGAAGCUUAAAUUUCCAGCUUUUUGAUUCUCAGGAAAUGAGAUUAUCAAACCAGGGUCAGACACUUGACAGCAAAGCGAGAGUGGGGGAGUGUGAAAUUAUAUCUUAAAAAAAGUUCUUUGAUUUUGAUUCUGAGAUUGCUAUUCAGGAAAUAAAAAAUUCAGAAGAGGAGAAAGACAAGAAAAUCUCAGAGUGCAAGGGCUGCAGGCCUGGUUCUUCAGUGGCCUGUUUGUUGUGCAGACUGUCAGUUAUAAAUGUGUGUGCAGAGACUUGAUAGAUGUAAACUAGUGGGCUUUGUCUCUUUAUUAUUAUUUAUUAUUUAAUCCCCCUUUAAUAAGUUUCUUUUGGUAUACAAUGUCUGAACCAAUAUCUAAAACGUUUGUAUGCAUUGGAGUGAAGCCAUUUUUCUUCUAUUAGGAAAUGACACUUAGUUUCUAAAUGAUGGCUUGCUAAUUUAAGUAUCUAUUCAAUUUUUGUUGGUGUUUUUAAUUAUUUCAAAUCGCUUCUGAAGUGAGGCAUAGUUUAAGUAGUGAGUAAUGUCAAGUCAUAGACUACCACUUAUUGAUAAGUGACCUUUGUCAAGCCAGGUGUCUGAGUGAGAUAAAGAAUAAGGCUGCAUCAGACCUGCUGUAAACCAAAGUAUAUUCUAUCAUUAAUAUAACUGGUUUUUACUAGGGAGGUGCAACAUAAUGAAAUUCAUUUGUUCUAUAAAAUAUUUGUCACCUUUUGUCUUCUUAAUUUAGACUUCUAAUUUUAGUUGGAAAUAGAAGAACAAUGUAUCAUUUGUCUUAGCCCAGUGUGUAGUUAAAACUCAUAUGUCUCUUUAAUCAUUGGGUUUUGCGCUCCUCACAGAAACAUAGAGACCCUUAUCUGUUGUUUCAAUACUCAACCAUCUCUUCACUGCCCUGUCUUUCGUAGUUACCAUGCCCUUAAAACUCUAUGCGUAGUUUCUAAAUACUACAGCCCAUUUAGUUCACUUGUGUGUGCUCUUAUGGAUUGCUUGCUUUGUCAUUUGCGGGCACCAUUAAUAUUAUAGACUCAGGUAGAACACUGGUAAAGAAGCCUUCUUUGGUCUGAAUGGGGAUGGUGCUGACCAUUAGUGGGUCUGUUAUACCAGCCUUGCUUUCUCCUUUUAUUGUCAGGUUGUGCAGUUAUUUUUAAAACCAGCUUGGUAAGCAUAUUCCAUACCCUGCUAACCAUGACUAGAAGAGACAGACACACAGCUCUUAUACAAUCAGAGACUUCUACUAUUGCAAUUUUCUUCCUGAAACAUGUUAUAUAAUUUUUGCAAUUUCACUUUUGAUUCUCAGCUUUGUGCCUCAUUCUUGCUCAUUUCUUUUCUUUUUUUGAAGAGUAUCUAUCACAGACUAGUUAGAUAAAAAUUAGCUGUUGUUUAAUCUUGUGGAAGAAGAACUGCCAGUCAGAGGUCAAAGAGUAGACAAUGUUGGAUUUAUAACUAUCAGGUUGAGUGCUCAUGUUUGGAGAUGUUGAUGAAUAUGCUUUUUAGUGUUCAAUAAAAUAUUUGUUUAAAACAUGUUUUGUUUUAUAUUUAUAGCUAUUUUCUUUGUUGAAGAAUGACUACAUAUUUCCAAUACUGAGAGAGAGAGAGAGAGAGAGAGAGAGAGAGAAAGAGAGAGAGAGAGAGAUGAAUUAGAUAAUCUUAACUUUUGUGUUUAUGUGCCGGGGUAAACACUAAUGUGUAUCAUUCCGGGAGCCCAUGACACCCUGCAGUAUUUGCAGAUUUGUGGAUGAGAGGCCAGUAUAUUGCUUUUAUUAAGCUUGCAAAAUGCUUUCAUUAUUUUUGCAUGUAUGAUUACACACAAGCGACCAUCCAAAUAUGUAUCCUAUUUGAUUUCUAUACUGAGUGUUAUUACUUGUAGAAGAAAACAUUAAAACAACUUAAGUCAAAUGUAAAAUAAUAUAAUUUUAAAAAUUAGCAAUAUUAAUAUUCAAGGUAAGUAGAAAUAAUAGCAUUUAUUAAUGUUCAGGAAAAUUUAACCAAAAUUGUGUAAUAAUUAAAUAUGAAUCAGUUUUAAAAUAAAAAUAAUUUGUUACUUAGUAAAGUAGGCAAGCCAGGCUAAUCUAAAGAUAUUUCCUCAGUAUGAAGCUUUUUAAAAUUACAGUUUGUCAUAGCUUUGUCUAUUAAUUAAUUAAGAAAAUUGAUUUGAUUUAAGAGACAUAUAGUUAGUAAUAUACACAUUAUAUGGACUCUCCAGUGGUGCUGUGAUAGUGUUGGGUGCUGUCCUGAAAGCCCACUGCUUUGUCUGAUGUACGUUAUGUGUAGUCUAUAUGGUGAUGUAUGGUUGAUGUGGACCAAGGCUAUUUCAAAACAUGCUAAUGGUGAGUAGAAAGGAAUGCUUUUAAGCCUUUCAAGUUCAUUUAAUUAACAUUUAAUAAUAAUAGAGGUGUGUAUGUGUAUGAUUUAGUAAAAAAAAGAUCCAGCUAAUUUGCCAUUAAUUAUACAAAUAUUUAUUUGGUGAGAUUCUCUGCCACGGACUUCUGAAAUUCUCUUUAGUCUUAACUUGCUAUUGAAGUCCUUGAAUUGAUAGGGCGUCCUCUUUUAGUGAAGAUAAUGUAAGGAUGAAGAAACUCAUUUUCUUAAGCAUAUAAUCAGUCUAAUUGAUGUUUUUAUGUGUUUGUAAGCACAUGGUACAUUUAUAGGCCUUUGAGGUUAGGACUCUAGAGUUCACAUACUAGGUUGGGAGAGAAACACACAGUAUUUGAAAUAGGUGAACAGUCUAUUGUGGUGAUGUGGAGUUGUUAAGCUUUUUAAGUAAGAAUAAGUGGAAAGAAAUAUUGAAGACUAACUAAAGAGAAUAAACUGACAGAUGGCCACUACUUGACUAAAGUAGAUACAAGUCUCAGGAGCGUCAGGCAUUGCUCAAGCGGAAGGGUAGGCAGGUAGACUCGUGAGUCAGAGCCAUCCACUUCAGCUUUUAAAUAACUUACCUGAGUGCAUUCUUUCCAGAGCUCGCAACCAUAUUUUUCAUUUUCUUUAAGUGUUCAUCUGCCAGUUUUUAUAACUGUACCUCCCUGAGUGUCUUAUGUGCAAAUUUUCAGUUUAUUUUAGUGGUUUCCUAGUCUGUUGUUGCUUGCCAGAUACCGAAUUAGAAUUGUAACCUUUUGUAGCCAUUAUUUAAAAUGAUGAGUGGAAAUGUUUUGUUUUCUUGGUAGGAAAUGAGUUAGAACUAUGAAAGUUUUCCUAAAGCAACACCAACAGUGACUGUCUGUAUCUCCUAUGAGCUUCUCUAAACUUUGACCUGCUAAUAUCAGCACCUAGGAAAGGAGUGAAAGAGCCCACCUACAUUCUGACUGCUAACACUGCAGCUACCGUAGUGUUUCAGAGUUAUCUCUAACUGCUUUAUGGCAAAAUAACAAAAGCUUGAUGUUCUGUAGCUGGAUUCCCUUAAAUAAUAUAAAAGAAAGGGCAGGGGUUAAAAGUGACUAGUAGCUUCUAUGACUUUGCACAUUCCUCUGAGGGCACUUUAAUUGCUAUAAUUUUGUGAUUCAUUCAGUUUAAUUGUGUUAAGUAUUUCUGAGGUCUCUUGCUCAUUCCUUUUGCAGUUGAUGCCCAUCAGCAGCAUUAAACACAUGAAGUAGAAACUAUCUCCUGUCUAUAACGUCAAUGGGAUAGAUAAAUAUAUUGAAAAGAACUACUUUACCUACAUGUCUUUAAAAUGUUACAAUGGAACACAUGCUCAAGAGAUAUUUUGUUUAUUUAUUUUUGUCUGUUUUGUUUGUUUGAUUGUUUGAGACCUGGUCUCUCUUUGUAACUCUGACUGUCCAGGAACUCACUCUGUCAUCCAGGCUGGCCUCAUUUAGAGUAACAUCGCUCUGCCUCCUGAAUGCUGGGAUUAAAGGUUUCUUGCUUUACUCAAGAAAUAUUUUCAAAAUUACUUUUUUCUAUAGUGGCUGGCUGUGAUGGUUUGUAUAUGCUUGGCCCAGGGAGUGGCAUUAUUAGGAGUUGUGGCCUUUUUGGAGUAGGUAUGUCAAUGUGGGCAUGGGCUUUAAGACCCUCGUCCUAGCUGCCUGGAAGUCAGUCUUCUCCUUGUGGCCUACACAUGAAGUUGUGGAACUCUCAGUGUGCUCCCCUGCACAUUGCUAUGAUCUGGCUUUAAUGAUAAUGCAUUGAGCCUCUGAGCCUGUAUGCCAGCGCUAAUUAAAUGCUGUCCUUUAUAAGACUUGCCUUGGACAAGGUGUCUAUGCACAUAGUAAAACACUAGCUAAGAUCCCGGCUUAUUGUAUUAUAUAUGUAGUUAAUGAUAGAUCAUAUUUUAGAAUAUCUAAAUACAUUAUGAAAAUAUAUUUCUUGGUAUUGAUACUUGAUAGAUUUAUAUUUUCGGUGAAAGUUCUUGACAUCAAUGUAGUUACUGUGAUGUACCCAUAUACAUUCUUAAGGUUUGAAUAAAUCUCAGUGAUGUGGGGUCUCUUGAAAACAUUGUAUUCUGUAUCUCCACAUAAGACUACGAAGCAUCUUUUGAGAUAACUGAAUCUAGUUUUAAAACUUAGAAAGCCAGUUUCUACUACCUAGUGAGUUCUGUGCCAGUCUGCGGUACAUGAGAUUGUGUCUCUACUUCUCCCUUCUCCUCCUCUUUCUCCUCUUUUUCCAAUCCCUCAUCCUCUUACAGCAGUAACAACAAACUACUGUCCAAAGCACAUGCAGUGAAAAGUGUAAGUAUUGUGUAAGUGCAGGCACAUGUGUCUCAGAGGCAAAUGCUAUGAGCAUUUGCGAAUGAGCAGUCCCAUUCUCCUGAAAGCUGCAUAUAAUAUGAUUAAGUUCUUCAUUUUUAUGUAUUUGAAUUUUUACAUACUUCAACUUCUUCUAUUUUAAAAAUGUUACAGCGAACUUGUGGGUAUUCCUUAAAAGUAUAUAUCUAGAAGGGACUAACAAGAUAAUCCUAAAUAGGAUUUAAUUUGGGAUAAUCCUAAAUUUGGUAGAGUCUGAAUACUUUCUAAAAUCGUUCAUCAGCCUGAAUUAUUUGCAAAAGUCUAUGGCCAUGGAUGAUUCCUUUCAUCCUUCACACCGCUUUUGAUACCUUAUCAGUUUUACAAUUGUAAGCAUUUUUAAGUUUUCUGAAUUCCCCAUGUAGAGGAAUUUUAAUCCAGCAACAUGGCUGCUCUGGCAUGGGAUUACAUCCAAAGAUAUGAUCUGCCUGGGAUACAGAUAUGCUAUGGAUUAUAGUAUGAUAUGGAUGGAGUACAGACAUGCCCUUAGUACAUACCUUUAAUUCCUAGCAGUGAAGGUAAGCUUAUUUUGUAGAAGGAAACACCUAUGUUUGAGAGCGAUAUCUAAUGAAGGGACAAAGUAACAAACCAGAGAAAGAUUUGACAGAAUGAGUCAGAGAUAGGAUACGCCCAACUCACAGGAGAACAGACAGAAAGAGAGCCUACUUAAGAGCAGAGAGAGAAAAAAUUUGGUGGUUUGGUAGGUGGUGAGGUAUGUCUCUCUCUCUGUCUCUGUCUAUCUGUCUCUGUCUUUGUCUCUCUCUCUAAUACACACACACACACACACACACACACACACACACUGUCUUUGUGAAUUUAACUUGGACAGUUUUACAGUGGUAAGUUACAGAGUGAAUAAACUAAACACAGGUAAAGACAGAAUGAGCCAGAGAAAGAGAAGGAGCCAAAAGAUUAGAACAUAUUGCCAAAGUUAGUAUGUGGGCAGGCAGAGCAAUUUAGUCAGAAGCUGAGAGAAACCAAAUUAUAUCAGUCAGCUUGUAAGGUUAGAUUGCAUGGAGGCUAGAAGCUUGCAGGCAUAGGCAUGGUUAGAAUAGAGAAGGAAAUGCACUGGGCUCUGCCCUAGUGCUGUAUCAUUCUCACCUCACUGUUUCAUCUGAGGAAAUAACAGUUAUAUUUACACCCCCAACUUGAUAGGAAUAUACUUUGGGUUAUUAUUUGGAAAAGCGAUAAAAUUCAGAUUGUAAACAGGCAGGAUUCUUUAUCUUUACAAGAACUUCAUAUACCUGUAAAGCCAUUAUAAUAAAGACCUGUAGACGGCAUUGCCCGAAUCCUUUUACUUUGUAUAUCUGUAAAUUAGCAUUUCCAACGUCUUCCUGAAGCUGUUCCCCCGAUACAAGGAAUAUACUUCAGGAACUGUAUAAUAAGUCUUAGAGUAAAAUGAGGGAAGACAGAGAUAGCCAGGAUAAGCAUGCCUGCCUCCUCUGACUACUUUUGCUUCUUCAACACUUUAGUACCCAGAAAGUAUUCAAUUCCCUUGUAGUAUAUCGAAUCUAAUAGAAUCAUGCAUGUGCAUUACCAGAUCAUCUGAAUUACAUCCUUCUCCCUGGGUCCACAGCAAUUUGAAAAGAUACACCCCCAUCAAAUGACAUAAGACCUGUAUCUAUAGUAACAAAUUAACAAUUUAUAAUUGCAAGUUUGUAUAUAUCUCCUUCAUUUGAGUUUUAUCCAGGAAUCACACAACUGAAGAUGAAGAAUGCUCAGUAUAAGGAGUGAAGGGCUAGUUGCUAAGCUUUCAUUCAUCAGAGAUUUCAGACUAAUUCUGAAUCAAAAGUAAGGAAUAGCUUUAGUUAUUUACAAAGCAUACUCAUUCUUGACCAUAAUAAAAUCCUUUCAGAAUAUAUUAUCUUUGCAAUAGAUUUUUAGCUGGACUAUAGUGUCAGUUUUAAUUUCUGUUGUUGUUGUUGUUCUUUCUUUCUUUCUUUCUUUCUUUCUUUCUUUCUUUCUUUCUUUCUUUCUUUCUUUUUUUUUUCUUUUUUUUUUUUUUUUUUGGUCUAAGCAAUAGUAGCAACCUUUCUGUGACCCGUCCUGAUCCUUGACAGUAAGUCAUCAACACAGCCUCAGAUAAAUCUACUGGGUUCUGAGGUUCUGUGGAAAAGACAUGAGAUCUCCAAUGGAUGCUAAGAAUUGGAAGGAGCAAAGGCAGGGAAGUCACAAGGACUGAGUCAGGACAGAGGUUAGGGUAGAUAAGGGAGGGAAGAAAGUAGGUUAUGUUGAAGCAAGAUCCUUCAACAUUGUCUUACCAGUCAUAUGACUUGGAGAGUCAGUUUUUCUAAGCCUCUGGUACAUUAAGAGGUUAUAAUAUGUUUGACUAGUUGGGAAGUGGGAUCUAUUAGUUGGGGUUCUCUAGAGUAAACUAGUUAUGUCUAUUUUUUACUUGAAUGACUUCCAUGCUGAACUCUAGCUAUCCCAACCUUGACUGACUAAACAAAGUUCAAGAAUCUUUAGCUGGUCUUCAAUGUGUUCUAAACUCCUAAAGAAGUGCUCUCUAGUGACAGUGAAGGAAUGGAUGUGGUAGAAAAGUGAACGCAAGCAGAGAAAGUGCAAAAUAUUCCUUUAUGUCCUAAUGUAAGCUUCCAGAAGAAAGUGUGACAAAGAUUAAUGCCUUCCCUCCUAAAGAUCUAGAUUAAAGGUGUGUCUUUACACCUCAUAAGUCCAGACUAGAAGUGGAUUCACUCAUUUUAAUUCAAGCCAAAGUGUCACAGCUAUGCCCUUUAUUUCUGGAUUGUAGUUUAUUCCAGAUAUAGUCAAGUUGGCAACCAAGAGUAGCCAUCACAUAGAGCUUAAUAGAAUCUGUAGAAUCAGGAAGCAGAAGUCACUAUGGAAUUUCCAGAGAAUGUCAGAUAAGAAGGUUUAAACUUCUUAUCUGAGAGGAAGAAUAAGAACAACAACAUUAAAAGUCAAGCCAAGGGUCAAUGCCUGCUGCUACAAAUUAUCUGCUAUGGUCAGAAAACAAAACAAGAAUGAACAUUCUACAUCAUAUUACCUGUUUAAGAAGAUUGAGCAGGUCAUAAGUUUUGUCACUGUAUCCAAAUCUCUGUGUUAGAACUUUGAAUCUUGCCGGGCAUUGGUGGAGCACACCUUGAAUCCCAGCACUUGGGAGGCAGAAGCAGAGGCAGGCGGAUUUCUGAGUUCGAGGCCAGCCUGGUCUACAAAGUGAGUUCCAGGACAGGCAGGGCUAUACAGAGAAACCCUGUCUCGAAACCCCCCCCCCCAAAAAAAAAAAAAAGAACUUUGAAUCUUCCUUUAAAUCAGUUUGAAAUCAAAUAGCAGUUAGUAUUUUCCUUUGCAGAUGUAUAUAUUACUAUAUAGUAGGCUGCUCCAAAGAUCAUCAAACAUCAGAUAUUUAUUAUUGUUCAUAUCUUUCUAUUAACUGGUUCAUUCUCAGGAUUUGAACCACUCAGAUGGGAUUAGCUGUUGUAAGGUUGUGUCCUCUGGUAUAACUGGGACCUUGAUUUACAGUGCCUGCCAUUAUUCAAGAAGAUAGCUGGGUCUUCUUCCCAUGACAUCAUGUCUCCUGUGCUUAUGUGCCCAUCAAGUAUUUUUGAGUCACAUUUGCUAAUAACUCACAUUUGAAGAAUUGAAAGUUAGGGAAAUGUUUAUUCUCUUUGUCUGUCUGUCUGUCUGUCUGUCUGUCUCUGUCUCUUGUCUCUCUGUCUCUGUCGCUCUCUCUGUGUAUGUGUGUGUGUUAUGGGAGGCAGUGUAGAAUCAUAAAGUCUCACAAGUCAAGUAAUAAGUUUGGCUUUCAUUUCUUAUAUUACCAAAUCAAAAAAUUUUAAUUAUGAAUCAUCUCCCUUUUAGGUUUCCAUCUUGAGUAAAUUGUAUGAAAUAUAUAAAAUAAAAAAUAAAAAAACACUGCAAAUUUGUACUCAUUGCAACUCCAGAGAAUUGCAGAUAGGGACUGUAACAUGUCUGCACAUUUUUAGUUAGCCACAUUGCUCAGAGUGCAGUGAAAAAGUAGCAUCUACUUCAAUGUUAAAGAGGAAGUAUAGGUAAAUGAAAUUUCAUGAGGCAUUAGAGAACGUUAGGCAGUAAUUUAAAUGUUUUAUGGAGAUAGCAAGAGGAAAUACUUAUCAUAAAUAAAAAUCAGGGCAUGAAUUUAAGUAGCACAACCUCAAAGAUAUAAAUCCAACAUAUAGAGUAGGUAGGUAUUCAUUAUCUAUAAACCUUGAGAAAAUUUAUUGAAAAAAGUAAUCAAAGUA